AGGACUAACGCUGGCGGCGUGCCUAACACAUGCAAGUCGAACGAAGUAGCAAUACUUAGUGGCAGACGGGUGAGUAACACGUAGUCAACCUGCCCUUCAAUGGGGGAUAACUAGCCGAAAGGUUAGCUAAUACCGCAUACGAUCUCUGAGUGGCAUCACUCGGCGAUGAAAGGAGUAAUCCGUUGAAGGAGGGGACUGCGUCCCAUUAGUUAGUUGGUGGGGUAAUGGCCUACCAAGACUCCGAUGGGUAGCUGGCUUGAGAGAGCGACCAGCCACACUGGAACUGAGACACGGUCCAGACUCCUACGGGAGGCAGCAGUGAGGAAUUUUCCGCAAUGGGGAAACCCUGACGGAGCGACGCCGCGUGUGGGAAGAAGGCCUUGGGUCGUAAACCACUGUCGAGGGGGACGAUAUUGACGGUACCCCUGGAGGAACGCCCCGGCUAACUACGUGCCAGCAGCCGC
rnacentral:rRNA from 1 species